GCUGAGUGCCUCGAAGGACACACACACCUAGCCCCCUCCUGGGCUGAAGGCCCUGCAGCACUUGGCUCUGGCUGCAGCCUUCUCAGCCGGCCUCCACCCUCAGCUCCUCUCCUCUCUCAGGAGGACUCUCCUGACUUCACUAUGACCGACGCUGAGCUCUGAAUGCACCCAGCCAACCAGGGCCCUGGUCCUCUAGGAGCAACACAGAGCCAAUCCCAGGCCUCAGGAAGCCAUCCCACAUUUAUGCCACGGUCACAGCUGGGAACGAUGUCACUUCGGCUGAGUAAAGCCUCCAGCGACUGCACCUUCCUCUCGGAAUCCUCCAAGGACUUCUCCCCUCGGACCUCAUACAUACGUGGACAGGUUAAAAUCACCGUGGAUCCACACAAUGGGCCUCACAGGCUUCAAAUGACCACACGUGGUUUCUCUGGAAACAGCAGCGCCUGGAGCGAGCGCUCUGAAGAGGCAGCCGCUGGCCCACCUGCACUCACAGCCACAUCCCUGGCUGCACCCAGUUCCAGGAGCAACUCGCAAGACAUUAGGUCCAAAACAGUGAAGAGUGAUCAACCAACCGCCAGAUGUUUUGUCCACUCGACACCAACAACUGAAAGCUUGGAACCACGCAGAGGACAAGUGAAUUUCCACUUUCUGGUAUUGACUCUGAGAUAACCCAGCUAAUCCAUGCGGCCAGGAAACCAUCCUUGAAUGAAGACAAUGAAUAUGACACUCUCACCACUAGGAGUGAACACCGAAGUGGCAAGGAAGAAGAGUAUGUAUGACAAAUGCCAUGUGUCAACUCCAGGAGAUGGGAAAACAAACUAGCAAGUUCAUGAACUGCAUUUCUGCAUUCUACUCUUUUACCAAAACUCUCUUUUCAUUUGGGUAUUAUAAAACUUUAAUUGAACAAUUAAAUUGAGAAGUAAAAAUAUAAACAGAAGAACAGUUCUAGAAAGUGCUAGGGGUCUUCCCUACUGGGGAUAUUAGCAGGCCUCCAACCCCCACCUGCACCCAUUUCAAGGCCCCUUUCAUUAAUAUGCAACUGUGAAAAUCCAAAACAGAUAUUAGGGAAGAACAAAAUUAAGUUUUGCAUGAGCCUCUCGGCUGACAAUGACCCAAGGACUGUGUGAUGCCCC
rnacentral:lncRNA from 1 species